GGUGGCUCGGUGGUAGAGCAUUUGCCUCACACGCAUGAAGCCCUGGGUUCGAUUCCUCAGCACCA
rnacentral:tRNA from 1 species